AGUGAACGCUGGCGGUAUGCCUAACACAUGCAAGUCGAACGGCAGCACACUAAGAGCUUGCUCUUACGGGUGGCGAGUGGCGGACGGGUGACGAAUACAUCGGAAUCUACUUUUUCGUGGGUGAUAACGUAGGGAAACUUACGAUAAUACCGCAUACGACCUACGGGUGAAAGCAGGGGAUCUUCGCACCUUGCGCGAUUGAAUUAGCUGAUGUCGGAUUAGCUAGUUGGCGGGGUAAAGGCCCACCAAGGCGACGAUCCGUAGCUGGUCUGAGAGGAUGAUCGGCCACACUGGAACUUGGACACGGUCCAGACUCCUACGGGAGGGAGCAGUGGGGAAUAUUGGGCAAUGGGCGCAAACCUGAUCCGGCCAUAGCGCGUGGGUGAAGAAGGCCUUCGGGUUGUAAAGACCUUUUGUUGGGAAAGAAAAGCAGCAGGUUAAUACCCCGCUGUUCUGACGGUACCCAAAGAAGAAGCACCGGCUAACUUCGUG
rnacentral:rRNA from 1 species